rnacentral:rRNA from 1 species
GGGCUUGACAUCCCACGAACCUGCUGAAAGGCGGGAGUGCCCGCAAGAGAGCCGAGAGACAGGUGGUGCAUGGCUGUCGUCAGCUCGUGCCGUGAGGUGUUGGGUUAAGUCCCGCAACGAGCGCAACCCUCACCCCUUGUUGCCAACAGGUCAAGCUGGGCACUCUAGGGGAACUGCCAGCGCUAAGCUGGAGGAAGGUGGGGAUGACGUCAAGUCAUCAUGCCCCUUACGCCCUGGGCUACACACGUGCUACAAUGGCCGGUACAGAGGGAUGCAAGACCGCGAGGUGGAGCUAAACCCAAAAAGCCGGUCUAAGUUCAGAUUGCAGUCUGCAACUCGACUCCGUGAAGGAGGAAUCGCUAGUAAUCGCGCAUCAGCACGGCGCGGUGAAUACGUUCCCGGGCCUUGUACACACCGCCCGUCACACCACGAAAGCCGGCUGUACUCGAAGUCGCUGAG